GUUCUCAGUUCUUGUAAUGCACCAGGGUUUGAAGGGCUAAAUGCACUCCCAACCUAUGGAUGUUAAGAUAAAUAUUUUAAA